ACACCUCCUGGUUCACUGAGGCCUUUGAAAAUAGGCACCUGAGAGUCUGAAGUUGUUUACUUCUCCUCCCUCCCAUCUCAUCUCCCACUUCCUGCACCUGUGCAGGUGACUGCAAUGACCCCAGUGGCUACAUUUAGAAGAACACUGUGGAGAAGACUGAGGAAAUUUGGAAAUACAGCAACAGAAGUUAAAGCUCUUGAUUUGGUGGACUCAUUUACUUGGACAAAUUUGGGAAGCUACAGGAAUCCAUUGUCUGAUCUUCAUCCUCCUGCCUGUGUAUUUUGAGAAGACCUGCAAGCUACACUGAGGCAAGCCCAGUUUUGAGGCCUUUGUGCUGACUUUGUUCCAGGACCUUGCUGUUUGUCAUUCUGCCUGGCAACUUGAUGAGUAUGGCAUAUGGUACUGUUGGUGGCAUCUUCGGAAUACUACAACGUCUUCUUAGACUUCUCAACACUGAGGAAAAACUUGGGUCUACCAUUGAGCUGCCUUCUUCGGUUGGAGACCUCCUUGCAACAUAACUAUACUGCCCCUGUGAGCUUGGGGUACAUCAAAAAUUGUACCACAGGGUAUGACAAGAAAGAAGGAUAAGAAAUUCUCGGAUACUCUCCCUGCUUUUUGCUGAUUCUAAUUUGGGCUACAUUUCAUCCUGGCAAUUCAGGAAGAAAAACUGGAAGCUAUUCCUGGCUCAGCUGUCAAACAGACAGCAAAUGAAGGUUAUCUCAGAUGUGUCUCCUCUACUCCUGAGAGAACAUGGUGCGACUUAACAUUUCUUCAGUAACAUCAUUACUGUUGACAUCUUGAUGCAAGGAUGGGCAGUUUGCCAAUCUCGUCAUUUUGGAAGCAAAUUGGUUCAAGUAAUCGCCUAAAACAGCCUCUUGUAAGGAGCUUUAAGCAUAAGAGACUGCAUCCAUCAUUUCCAACUGUGAAGAAGAAACUAUUUCCCCACUAAAUGAUUUGAAAGUUUGAAGAGAUUUUAGAUGUGCUGAUGGAACACAGACUUCUGGUGUGGAUUCAAAGCAUGAUGGCAAGAAUUCAGUGUUGUCAAAUAUUCAAUUUAAAUUUGCCCUGUUAUUUACAUUCUCUAUGCUAAUACCUAUUAUUAUAUAAAUGAAUUUUGCUCCUA